UCCUCAGUCACAGAUGAUGGUCCAGCCUCG
rnacentral:piRNA from 1 species